GUUGUUUCUCUGUAGUCUCUCUCAGUUUUUGGUUUCAUCCUGGAGUUUAUUCCCCAGGGGACACAGAAGUGUCGGAUCAGCAGUUUACAGUGGAACCGCGGCAGCACUCGAUGUCAGGUCAGGUUCAACGGUCACGGUCUGGGGUCACAGUUUCCACUCGUCAUUAACCCUCGGCGACCCUGCAGCACAGGAGCUGUCAUCAGGAGCCUCACACUCACCUCGCAGGUUUCAAUGCAGUACACAAGUUUGACCAUCAAAUAGCAGAUGCUGGCAAAAGAAGAAGAAGGAGAAGAAAAAGAAGUCUUUAACAUUAAACAACCAUAACUGAUGAU